rnacentral:lncRNA from 1 species
AGGAAGGAGACACUCCAUUCGUUGUUCACUGGUGUGAACCUGAGGCCACUGCCAGCCUGAGCUGAGCUGAACUUCAGAAGACAGCAAGAGCAUCGAGGAAGAAGAAGAUGGCCUCUGCUACCCUGCUCAAGUCCUCCUUCCUUCCCAAGAAGUCGGAAUGGGGCGCCGCCAGGCAGCUCACCGCGCCCCGGCCGGUCACCGUCUCCGUGGUCGUCCGCGCCAGCGCCUACGCCGAUGAGCUCGUCAAGACAGCGGUGCGUUCGUCGUUUCUUCACUAGUGGCCGAUCGAAACUGUCACUAUCGCCAUCUUGCUUGCUGAAAGAAAUAAUGAUGACAUGGUGAGUUGCAGAAAACGAUCGCGUCGCCUGGGCGCGGCAUCCUGGCCAUGGACGAGUCGAACGCGACGUGCGGGAAGCGGCUGGCGUCCAUCGGGCUGGAGAACACGGAGGCCAACCGGCAGGCGUACAGGACGCUGCUGGUCACCGCGCCGGGGCUGGGCAACUACAUCUCCGGCGCCAUCCUUUUCGAGGAGACGCUCUACCAGUCCGCCGUCGACGGCCGCCGGAUCGUCGACAUCCUCACCGAGCAGGGCAUCGUGCCCGGGAUCAAGGUCGACAAGGGCCUCGUCCCGCUCGCCGGCUCCAACGACGAGUCCUGGUGCCAGGGCCUCGACGGCCUCGCCGCCCGCGAGGCCGCCUACUACCAGCAGGGCGCCCGAUUCGCCAAGUGGCGCACCGUCGUCAGCAUCCCCAACGGGCCAUCCGAGCUCGCCGUCAAGGAGGCCGCAUGGGGGCUCGCCCGCUACGCCGCCAUCUCGCAGGUACGCCUUCUUGCUUGCUUCUAGCCAUGGAGAUAGUUCAUCCAGCUAAUUAAUAAAAGCUAACACCGAUGGAAUGGAAUCGACCGAGCAGGACAACGGACUUGUGCCGAUCGUAGAGCCGGAGAUCCUGCUGGACGGCGAGCACGGCAUCGAGCGGACCUUCGAGGUGGCGCAGAAGGUGUGGGCCGAGACCUUCUACGCCAUGGCGGAGAACAACGUCAUGUUCGAGGGCAUCCUGCUCAAGCCAUCCAUGGUGACGCCGGGCGCCGAGGCUAAGGACCGGGCCACGCCGGAGCAGGUCGCCGAGUACACCCUGAAGCUCCUCCACCGCCGCAUCCCGCCCUCCGUCCCCGGCAUCAUGUUCCUCUCCGGCGGGCAGUCGGAGGUGGAGGCGACGCAGAACCUCAACGCCAUGAACCAGGGGCCCAACCCGUGGCACGUGUCCUUCUCCUACGCGCGGGCGCUGCAGAACACCUGCCUCAAGACGUGGGGCGGCGUGCCGGAGAACGUCAAGGCGGCGCAGGACGCGCUGCUGCUGCGCGCCAAGGCCAACUCGCUGGCGCAGCUCGGCAAGUACACCUCCGACGGCGAGGCCGCCGAGGCCAAGGAGGGCAUGUUCGUCAAGAACUACAGCUACUAAUUCAUCGGCUAGCAACUCCGACGAUACAUACUGGUUACGCAAGCUAAGCACGUCUUCGCCGUGAUGAUCCAUGCAUGGUGCUCAUCGAUGCUUUGUGCGUGCCGUUAGUUACUACUGCUAGCUACU